rnacentral:rRNA from 1 species
AUUGAACGCUGGCGGCAUGCUUUACACAUGCAAGUCGGACGGCAGCAUAAAAGAGCUUGCUCUUUUGAUGGCGAGUGGCGAACGGGUGAGUAAUGCAUCGGAACGUACCGAGUAGUGGGGGAUAACUGUCCGAAAGGAUGGCUAAUACCGCAUAUUCUCUGAGGAGGAAAGCAGGGGACCUUAGGGCCUUGCGCUAUUUGAGCGGCCGAUGUCUGAUUAGCUAGUUGGUGGGGUAAGAGCCCACCAAGGCGACGAUCAGUAGCGGGUCUGAGAGGAUGAUCCGCCACACUGGGACUGAGACACGGCCCAGACUUCUACGGGAGGCAGCAGUGGGGAAUUUUGGACAAUGGGCGCAAGCCUGAUCCAGCCAUGCCGCGUGUAUGAAGAAGGCCUUCGGGUUGUAAAGUACUUUUGUCAGGGAAGAAAAGCCUGAGGAUAACACCCUCAGGUCAUGACGGUACCUGAAGAAUAAGCACCGGCUAACUACGUGCCAGCAGCCGCGGUAAUACGUAGGGUGCGAGCGUUAAUCGGAAUUACUGGGCGUAAAGCGAGCGCAGACGGUUAUUUAAGCAAGAUGUGAAAGCCCCGGGCUCAACCUGGGAACUGCGUUUUGAACUGGGUAACUAGAGUGUGUCAGAGGGGGGUAGAAUUCCACGUGUAGCAGUGAAAUGCGUAGAGAUGUGGAGGAAUACCGAUGGCGAAGGCAGCCCCCUGGGAUAACACUGACGUUCAUGCUCGAAAGCGUGGGUAGCAAACAGG